GAUGAACGCUGGCGGCGUGCCUAAUACAUGCAAGUCGAGCGAACAGACGAGGAGCUUGCUCCUCUGACGUUAGCGGCGGACGGGUGAGUAACACGUGGAUAACCUAUCUAUAAGACUGGGAUAACUUCGGGAAACCGGAGCUAAUACCGGAUAAUAUAUUGAACCGCAUGGUUCAAUAGUGAAAGACGGUUUUGCUGUCACUUAUAGAUGGAUCCGCGCCGCAUUAGCUAGUUGGUAAGGUAACGGCUUACCAAGGCGACGAUGCGUAGCCGACCUGAGAGGGUGAUCGGCCACACUGGAACUGAGACACGGUCCAGACUCCUACGGGAGGCAGCAGUAGGGAAUCUUCCGCAAUGGGCGAAAGCCUGACGGAGCAACGCCGCGUGAGUGAUGAAGGUCUUCGGAUCGUAAAACUCUGUUAUUAGGGAAGAACAAAUGUGUAAGUAACUAUGCACGUCUUGACGGUACCUAAUCAGAAAGCCGCGGCUAACUACGUG
rnacentral:rRNA from 1 species